UGCCAGCCGCCGCGGUAAUACGGAGGGUGCAAGCGUUGUUCGGAAUUAUUGGGCGUAAAGCGCGUGUAGGCGGACUGUUAAGUCUGAUGUGAAAGCCCGGGGCUCAACCUUGGAACUGCAUUUGAAACUGGGAGUCUAGAGAUCAGGAGAGGUUAGUGGAAUACCGAGUGUAGAGGUGAAAUUCGUAGAUAUUCGGAGGAACACCAGUGGCGAAGGCGGCUCACUGGCUCGAUACUGACGCUGAGGUGCGAAAGCGUGGGGAGCAAACAGGAUUAGAUA
rnacentral:rRNA from 1 species